rnacentral:rRNA from 1 species
AUUGAACGCUGGCGGCAGGCCUAACACAUGCAAGUCGAGCGGAGCGGCGGCCGGGUGCGUAUUGCCUAGGAAUCUGCCUGGUAGUGGGGGAAAACGUCCGGAACCGGCCGCUAAUACCGCAUCCUAUCAGAUGAGCCUAGGUCGGAUUAGCUAGUUGGUGGGGUAAAGGCCUACCAAGGCGACGAUCCGUACCUGGUCUGAGAGGAUGAUCAGUCACAGUGGAACGGAGACACGGUCCAGACUCCUACGGGAGGCAGAAGUGGGGAAUAUUGGACAAUGGGCGAAAGCCUGAUCCAGCCAUGCCGGGUGUGUAAAGAAGGUCUUCGGAUUGUAAAGCACUUUAAGUUGGUAGGCGUUACCAACAGAAUAAGCACCGGCUAACUUCGUGCCAGCAGCCGCGGUAAUAC